rnacentral:rRNA from 1 species
GGACGAACGCUGGGCGGCGUGCCUAAUACAUGCAAGUCGAACGGUCUUUUCUAAUGGAAGCUUGCUUCCACUGAGAAGAUAGUGGCGGACGGGUGAGUAACACGUGGGUAACCUGCCCAUAAGAGGGGGAUAACAUCCGGAAACGGGUGCUAAUACCGCAUAGUUUUCUUGAUCGCAUGAUCGGGAAAGGAAAGACGGCCUUUGUGCUGUCGCUUAUGGAUGGACCCGCGGCGUAUUAGUUAGUUGGUGAGGUAACGGCUCACCAAGACGAUGAUACGUAGCCGACCUGAGAGGGUGAUCGGCCACAUUGGGACUGAGACACGGCCCAAACUCCUACGGGAGGCAGCAGUAGGGAAUCUUCCGCAAUGGACGAAAGUCUGACGGAGCAACGCCGCGUGAGUGAAGAAGGUUUUUCCGGAUCGUAAAACUCUGUUGUCAGAGAAGAACAAGUCGGAGAGUAACUGCUCCGGCCUUGACGGUAUCUGACCAGAAAGCCACGGCUAACUACGUGCCAGCAGCAGC